CUGCUGCCUUCCGUAGGAGUCUGGGCCGUGUCUCAGUCCCAGUGUGGGGGGCCUUCCUCUCAGAACCCCUACGCAUCGUCGCCACGGUGGGCCGUCACCCCGCCGUCUAGCUAAUGCGCCGCAUGCCCAUCCGCCACCGGAUCGCUCCUUUGGCCACCCGGAGGAUGCCCUCCGGUGGCGUCACGGGGUAUUAGGCCGCGUUUCCGCGGGUUAUCCCCCUGUGGCGGCCAGGUUGCAUACGUGUUACUCACCCGUGCGCCGGUCGCCCGGG
rnacentral:rRNA from 1 species